CCUACGGGAGGCAGCAGUGGGGAAUAUUGGACAAUGGGGGCAACCCUGAUCCAGCCAUGCCGCGUGUGUGAAGAAGGCCCUCGGGUUGUAAAGCACUUUCAGUGAGGAAGAACGCCUGGUGGUUAAUACCCAUCAGGAAAGACAUCACUCACAGAAGAAGCACCGGCUAACUCCGUGCCAGCAGCCGCGGUAAUACGGAGGGUGCGAGCGUUAAUCGGAAUUACUGGGCGUAAAGCGCGCGUAGGUGGCUUGAUAAGCCGGUUGUGAAAGCCCCGGGCUCAACCUGGGAACGGCAUCCGGAACUGUCAAGCUAGAGUGCAGGAGAGGAAGGUAGACUUCCCGGUGUAGCGGUGAAAUGCGUAGAGAUCGGGAGGAAUACCAGUGGCGAAGGCGGCCUUCUGGACUGACACUGACACUGAGGUGCGAAAGCGUGGGUAGCAAACAGGAUUAGAUACCCCAGUAGUC
rnacentral:rRNA from 1 species